rnacentral:rRNA from 1 species
UUCCGAAUGGGGAAACCCAGUGUGUUUCGACACACUAUCAUUAACUGAAUCCAUAGGUUAAUGAGGCGAACCGGGGGAACUGAAACAUCUAAGUACCCCGAGGAAAAGAAAUCAACCGAGAUUCCCCCAGUAGCGGCGAGCGAACGGGGAGCAGCCCAGAGCCUGAAUCAGUGUGUGUGUUAGUGGAAGCGUCUGGAAAGGCGCGCGAUACAGGGUGACAGCCCCGUACACAAAAAUGCACAUAUUGUGAGCUCGAUGAGUAGGGCGGGACACGUGGUAUCCUGUCUGAA